rnacentral:rRNA from 1 species
AGAGUUUGAUCCUGGCUCAGGACGAACGCUGGCGGCGUGCUUAACACAUGCAAGUCGAACGGUGAAGUCCCUUCGGGGGCGGAUCAGUGGCGAACGGGUGAGUAACACGUGGGCAAUCUGCCCCUCACUGUGGGAUAACUCCGGGAAACCGGGGCUAAUACCGCAUAUGAAGCCUGGCGGCAUCGCCGGGUUUGGAAAGUUUUUCGGUGAGGGAUGAGCCCGCGGCCUAUCAGCUUGUUGGUGAGGUAAUGGCUCACCAAGGCGACGACGGGUAGCCGGCCUGAGAGGGCGACCGGCCACACUGGGACUGAGACACGGCCCAGACUCCUACGGGAGGCAGCAGUGGGGAAUAUUGGGCAAUGGGCGAAAGCCUGACCCAGCGACGC